rnacentral:miRNA from 14 species
GAAAUGCCUCCAUGAGAUCCAGCUGUAAGGCAUUUUCUCAAUUAGUGAUCAAGGGGGAGGGCCCCUUGUGGGUGGUACCAUCCAUGGGCUGGUAGUCUUG